rnacentral:rRNA from 1 species
GACGUAGGGCGCGAGCGUUGUCCGGAUUUAUUGGGCGUAAAGAGCUCGUAGGCGGUCUGUCGCGUCUGCUGUGAAAACUCAGGGCUUAACCCUGAGCUUGCAGUGGGUACGGGCAGACUAGAGUGCGGUAGGGGAGAACGGAAUUCCUGGUGUAGCGGUGAAAUGCGCAGAUAUCAGGAGGAACACCGGUGGCGAAGGCGGUUCUCUGGGCAUGAUCUGACACUGAGGAGCGAAAGUGUGGGGAGCGAACAGG